rnacentral:rRNA from 1 species
CAGUAGCCGCGGUAAUACAGAGGGUGCGAGCGUUAAUCGGAUUACUGGGCGUAAAGCGUGCGUAGGCGGCUUCUUAAGUCGGAUGUGAAAUCCCUGAGCUUAACUUAGGAAUUGCAUUCGAUACUGGGAAGCUAGAGUAUGGGAGAGGAUGGUAGAAUUCCAGGUGUAGCGGUGAAAUGCGUAGAGAUCUGGAGGAAUACCGAUGGCGAAGGCAGCCAUCUGGCCUAAUACUGACGCUGAGGUACGAAAGCAUGGGGAGCAAACAGGAUUAGAUACCCCAGUAGUCCCUGUCUCUUAUACA